AGAGAGAGAGAGAGCGUGCAAGCGCUUAUACUGUGUAAAGAACAAUUGGAGAAUAUCCUCUGGCCUGAAAACAUGUGCCAUUGACUUCUAGGUUGUUCUAGGAGCCUUUAUUAAAUUUAAUUUCAAUUAAAAUGUUUGGGGAGCCAGCUCCUGGGAAUACUAAUCAAUAUGUCCCUUUAGUUGAACAGUCCCAUGAUGGGUCUUACAUGCACCUUAUUGAUCUGGAAUGAAGGUAAUUCUCUUUUACCUGACAUCUUGGCUCCUGGCAAGCUCCCCAUUGGCCUCCGUGUGUUCAACCUCAUCAGCAUUCUGAGACUCAAAUCAGCAUGGGAGCAGAGAGUGGUUUCCCCCUGGUAACGUGUAGCUCUGGCCACUCAUGAUCAAUUUGUUAUCUGUGCUCAUCGACAUAUUGGCGAUUUCAUAUUUUGGACAAUUCAGAAGAGCGCUUCUGGUUUGAAGCUCACAAGAACUGUCAGGAAGUCGCACCGUCCUGAGGAGUAGAUUAAAACACUGUAGAUAUUGAGAAAGCCAUUUGAGGUCACAGUCUGCACGAGAGGGAACAUGUCACCCAGGAGCCGAGGAAGUACAAGGAGAUGACCAACAGGCACACCAGCCCGAAGACGACAAGGCGUUGAUAUCGUUCAGAUUACUCCUUCCAAGGUGCGUGUUCAGAGGUCCUUAGAAAGGCUAAGCCCGGUAACCUAGGUUUCAUCCCAGGAACCACAUCGUGGAAAGGAAGAAGCGACUCCUGUAGGCUGUCCUCUGACCUCCACGCGUACGCCACAUCAGGUGUGUGCAUCAGCCAUACCACGGAGAACUAAAGCUGAAAAUGUAGAGAACUAGUUUAGAGACAAAGACAACCCGGUGUGUACUUUCAUAAUCCUUCCCAGAGAAGAGCCUGCAGCCUCAGGAGAUCUGGAGGCCCCAGUGGAGACCCACGAGACUUCAGACAUGAAGACAUGAAACUUGAGACCUGUGCCUCUGGGGUUUUUAAAGCCAAUACAAAUAAGUGUGUGAUUUGAAAGAGCAGGGAAAUGAAGCACAAGGAGUUAUUUGAGGCUACUUGGGGAUUGGGUUGCUGAGGUCUCAAACUAUUAUUAAUAUUCCCUAUAUAAAUGAAUGACAUAGGGUUGGCAAGAGGGUUCAGUGGGUAAAAGGUGUCUGUUUCUAAGACUGAUGGCAUUAAGUCCUGGCUGGGGGAUCUACAUGGCAGAAGGAGAGAAUUGACUCCUACAAUCGUCCUCUGACACAGAGGUGCUUUGGUACAUAUCCUUCCCUAUCACAAAUAAACGAACGAAUGAAUGAAUGAAUGAAGAAAGGAAGAAAGAAAGAAAGAAAGAAAGAAAGAAAGAAAGAAAGAAAGAGAGAAAGAAGGCAUCCAAGAAUGGGCCAAGAUAUAAUGUUAGACUAAAGACAGCCUGACUCACGAACACGACUAAAGACGGCAAUCGUGUCACUGAACGGCGGGCGUGCAGUGUAGGCUCUCCCAGUGUAGUCUAGGCAGCUUCACAAGCCAAGCCUGGGUUUGCCCCCAGCCUCUCCACCUUGACUUUCCGGAAUGUUCUUUUGAACAGAGCAGAGUACACGAGUAGGAGGCACUGGGUUACUUGAUGAGGUGAGGUGAUUAGAAAA